GGCCGUAUGGUCUAGUAGUAUGAUUCUCGCUUUGGGAGAGUCGCAAAAGCUCGGAAUUGCGAGAGGUCCUGGGUUCAAUUCCCAGUGCGGCCC